UUUAUUCGAAGACGGUUCUUCGUCCAGUCGACACGAAUUUUAAAACUUUUUAUUUAAUUGUACAAAUAAUCAGUAAUGCCGUUGUUUUAAUAUUGGAAUACGCUUGUGUUUUAUUUGGAAAUGGAUUCAGAAAUGCAACCGCUGUUGCGGAGAUCGGGCCCCGAUGUCAGAUGUAGAAGAUUCAGGCCGCUAACCCAAGAGGAAGUAUUACAAGCUCGUCAAGAAGUUGUCUGGCGGCGAGUCCAGUUUUGCCUAAUCAUUAUGUUCUGGGCGAUCAUCGCUAUGUUCCUAGCCAUCAUCACCUGCAUUUUGAUGCAGUCGCAGUGCGCCGAAGUUGUCACGAAUGAGAUGCCCAGCGUUCCGCCCGUGCAUCUCUCAUUAACCCCAUUAAUAUCGAAAGUUUACGCUUUAUAAGUGAGUUUGGAAAUAAUUAAAUGCUCUGAGGACACUAGAAAAUGAAGGCAGAAAUACUGUCGUCUAAAUUUAAGGCCAUUCGUUAUUAUGUGCGCUUUAGUUUUUCGAGAAUACUGUUCUUAAUCUGAGUCAUACGAGCGGUUAUUUUAAUCUAAUCUAUAAUCUAUAUUUUAUUCAUAAUAGUAGAUGCUUGUUAAAAUAUUAACUUUAACUAAAAUUAGAAUUAUUUCAAGGAAAUAAUUACCGGUUUGUAGGCAUAGAAUAAUAGCCGAAGAUCGACCGUUGAAACUUGUUUUAAAUUUAAUUAAAUUUAUACGUACGUAUGAAACUGCAAAUAUAGUGUUUAAAAAGAAAAUGUCGCAAGAAAACUCAUAAAUUAAGUUAAGCAAGAUUUCGGACGCCCUAUUUAUGUACGUAAUUUAUCUGUUUAGAUAGAAUAUAAAAAUAGAAAUGAAUCAGUUUCAUACAAUAA